rnacentral:rRNA from 1 species
CCUACGGGGGGCAGCAGUGGGGAAUAUUGGGCAAUGGGCGCAAGCCUGACCCAGCAACGCCGCGUGAAGGAAGAAGGCCCUCGGGUUGUAAACUUCUUUUAUCAAGGACGAAACAAAUGACGGUACUUGAUGAAUAAGCCACGGCUAACUACGUGCCAGCAGCCGCGGUAAUACGUAGGUGGCAAGCGUUAUCCGGAUUUACUGGGUGUAAAGGGCGUGUAGGCGGGACUGCAAGUCAGAUGUGAAAUCCCAAGGCUCAACCUUGGAACUGCAUUUGAAACUGUUGGUCUUGAGUAUCGGAGAGG